rnacentral:rRNA from 1 species
UGCAAGUCGAGCGAACAGAUGAGAAGCUUGCUUCUCUGAUGUUAGCGGCGGACGGGUGAGUAACACGUGGGUAACCUACCUAUAAGACUGGGAUAACUCCGGGAAACCGGGGCUAAUACCGGAUAAUAUUUUGAACCGCAUGGUUCAAUAGUGAAAGACGGUUUCGGCUGUCACUUAUAGAUGGACCCGCGCCGUAUUAGCUAGUUGGUAAGGUAAUGGCUUACCAAGGCGACGAUACGUAGCCGACCUGAGAGGGUGAUCGGCCACACUGGAACUGAGACACGGUCCAGACUCCUACGGGAGGCAGCAGUAGGGAAUCUUCCGCAAUGGGCGAAAGCCUGACGGAGCAACGCCGCGUGAGUGAUGAAGGUCUUCGGAUCGUAAAACUCUGUUGUUAGGGAAGAACAAAUUUGUUAGUAACUGAACAAGUCUUGACGGUACCUAACCAGAAAGCCACGGCUAACUACGUGCCAGCAGCCGCGGUAAUACGUAGGUGGCAAGCGUUAUCCGGAAUUAUUGGGCGUAAAGCGCGCGUAGGCGGUUUCUUAAGUCUGAUGUGAAAGCCCACGGCUCAACCGUGGAGGGUCAUUGGAAACUGGGAAACUUGAGUGCAGAAGAGGAGAGUGGAAUUCCAUGUGUAGCGGUGAAAUGCGCAGAGAUAUGGAGGAACACCAGUGGCGAAAGCGGCUCUCUGGUCUGUAACUGACGCUGAUGUGCGAAAGCGUGGGGAUCAAACAGGAUUAGAUACCCUGGUAGUCCACGCCGUAAACGAUGAGUGCUAAGUGUUAGGGGGUUUCCGCCCCUUAGUGCUGCAGCUAACGCAUUAAGCACUCCGCCUGGGGAGUACGACCGCAAGGUUGAAACUCAAAGGAAUUGACGGGGACCCGCACAAGCGGUGGAGCAUGUGGUUUAAUUCGAAGCAACGCGAAGAACCUUACCAAAUCUUGACAUCCUUUGACCGCUCUAGAGAUAGAGUCUUCCCCUUCGGGGGACAAAGUGACAGGUGGUGCAUGGUUGUCGUCAGCUCGUGUCGUGAGAUGUUGGGUUAAGUCCCGCAACGAGCGCAACCCUUAAGCUUAGUUGCCAUCAUUAAGUUGGGCACUCUAGGUUGACUGCCGGUGACAAACCGGAGGAAGGUGGGGAUGACGUCAAAUCAUCAUGCCCCUUAUGAUUUGGGCUACACACGUGCUACAAUGGAUAAUACAAAGGGCAGCGAAUCCGCGAGGCCAAGCAAAUCCCAUAAAAUUAUUCUCAGUUCGGAUUGUAGUCUGCAACUCGACUACAUGAAGCUGGAAUCGCUAGUAAUCGUAGAUCAGCAUGCUACGGUGAAUACGUUCCCGGGUCUUGUACACACCGCCCGUCACACCACGAGAGUUUGUAACACCCGAAGCCGGUGGAGUAACCUUUUAGGAGCUAGC